rnacentral:rRNA from 1 species
UACGAAGGGGGCUAGCGUUGUUCGGAAUCACUGGGCGUAAAGGGCGCGUAGGCGGCUUUUCAAGUCGGGGGUGAAAGCCUGUGGCUCAACCACAGAAUUGCCUUCGAUACUGUUAGGCUUGAGACCGGAAGAGGUGAGUGGAACUGCGAGUGUAGAGGUGAAAUUCGUAGAUAUUAGGAAGAACACCAGUGGCGAAGGCGGCUCACUGGUCCGGUACUGACGCUGAGGUGCGAAAGCGUGGGGAGCAAACAGG